GACGAACGCUGGCGGCGUGCUUAACACAUGCAAGUCGAACGGAAAGGCCCUGCUCUUGUGGGGUGCUCGAGUGGCGAACGGGUGAGUAACACGUGAGUAACCUGCCCUUGACUUUGGGAUAACUUCAGGAAACUGGGGCUAAUACCGGAUAUGAGCUCCUGCUGCACGGUGUGGGUUGGAAAGUUUCGGCGGUUGGGGAUGGACUCGCGGCUUAUCAGCUUGUUGGUGGGGUAGUGGCUUACCAAGGCUUUGACGGGUAGCCGGCCUGAGAGGGUGACCGGGCACAAUGGGACUGAGAUACGGCCCAGACUCCUACGGGAGGCAGCGGUGGGAAAUAUUGCGCAAUGGGCGGAAGCCGGAUACAGCGACGCCGCGUGCGGAAUGACGGCCUUCGGGUUGUAAACCGCUUUCGCCUGUAACGAAGAGUGAGUGACGGUAAUGGGUAAAGAAGCACCGGCUAACUACGUG
rnacentral:rRNA from 1 species